UGCAUGAAGCUGGAAUCGCUAGUAAUCGCGGAUCAGAAUGCCGCGGUGAAUACGUUCCCGGGUCUUGUACACACCGCCCGUCACACCAUGGGAGCCGACAACGCCCGAAGUCAGUGACCUAACCGAGAGGGAGGAGCUGCCGAAGGCGGGGUUGGUAACUGGGGUGAAGUCGUAACAAGGUACC
rnacentral:rRNA from 1 species